GAGGGGCAGUGUCCCUACCCAGGCUUGGAGGAGGAGCCUCAAGGGGUGUGUGUGGUUGGGGGAGACAGGCGGUGUCACCUGUGCUUAGACCAGGGGCGGUGGGCGGGUACCCUUGAGGUGGCAAGGUCACACUGCUCAUCAGAAGUUUCUCACUAGGGUCUUCUCUGGCCCAGCCUUUGACUGAAGCUGGUCUGGAGACAGGGGCGUUAGAGAAGUGACUCAUAGAUGGCCUAAAUAAGCGGGGCCACUCAAGGACCCAGGACAGGGGGAAGAGGGCCAACCCAUCUGGACCGCAGGCAAACCCCAUGGCCUUUGAGAGAAGAGAGAAGAGGACCCGGUGAAGUAGGCUCCGAGGGCCUCAGCCCAGCAGGAGCGCAGGGAGCUGCACCAGGAACUCACAGAGGAUCAGGGAGAAUUCUGAGAACAUGCUACUGUGGUGCUGCCUAGAGAGGAAGGAUAAAUGAUGACAAGUACAUCUCUGAGUAACGUCUCAUCAGUGGAAUGUGGUUGAUGAAGUGAGGUCUUCAAUUUUCUCAUCUACUGUGUGGUCAUGUUAUUUUCCUCAUCUGAGGCUUAAAAACUCACCUGCAUGCAGCACAUGACAGCUUAAAAUCUCUUGUGAACAAAACAGUAACAAAGACACCCACCAGCGUUGAGCAUCCCGUGUUGAUGACAGCGACCACCAGGGGUCAACGUCCUCUUCACAAUCCUGUGUCAGAGCAUCACUUGACUGAUUUCAUUAGCAACUUCCCAGGAGAAUCAGCUUACAAAAUACUUGUCCCAUUUUCCAUGCAGAUGUAACCCAUCUAUUUUACUGAAGAAAUGGGAAGAGCUGAAUGCUGAAUACACUGAAUGUCUGCAGGUUGUGCAAGUUUGUGACUUUAUCACUUUCUAAUUUCUGAUCUGUGUGGACCACUCUACAGAUUUUUCUCACUGGUGUGAUCAGCCUUCUGGAUGUCAAAUAUAAUAGACUUUCAAUAAUAUAAAAGUCAACACAAGCUCCUCAUGGUUUCAGUGCUCAGUGAUGACUCUAAACUUACACAAUGUGUUUCUUUAUUAGUUUUGUUUUCUGGUAUCUCUACUCGGCAUCUUCACCACACCCAUUUUAUGUUUCUUAUACAGGCUUUCUUCUAUGAAAUGCUAUGUCAUGAAUAUGCAAAUAACCUGAGAUCCACUGAGGUAAAUUUGGAUGUCUGUGCCCUGAGAGCAUCACCCAACAACCACAUCCCUCCUCUAUAGAAGCCCCUGAGAACACAGCUCCUCACCAUGGACUGUACCUGGGGGAUCCACUUCUUGGUGGCAGCUGCCACAGGUGUCCAUUCCCAGGUUCAGCUGUUGCAGCCUGGGGCUGAGGUGAAGAAGCCUGGGUCCUCAGUGAAGGUCUCCUGCCAGGCUUCCAGAUACACCUUCACCAAAUACUUUACACGGUGGGUGUGACAAAGCCCUGGACAAGGGCAUAGUGGAUGGGAUGAAUCAACCCUUACAAUGAUAACACACACUAUGCACAGACGUUCUGGGGCAGAGUCACCAUUACCAGUGACAGGUCCAUGAGCACAGCCUACAUGGAGCUGAGCAACCUGAGAUCUGAAGACAUGGUCAUGUAUUACUGUGUGAGAGACACAGUGCAAAAACCCACAUCCUGAGAGUGUCAGAAACCCCAGGAAGGAGACACCUGUGCUGACACAGAGGAGAUGACAAAGAUUAUUAGAUUAAAGAUUUGCUUAGAAAAUGACAUUAAGUCAUUAAAGAAAAGGAACAAUAUUAAUGUGUAUUUGAGAAAUUUUAAUUAUUUGAGAGAUUUUUCAUACAACAUUUAUUCUGUAAACAAAUUUCAAUGAUUAGAGAAUUAAUCAAAUUAAUGAAACUAAUAUAGAACUUCCUCUGAAGGUAUCUCUGUAAACAUUAAUUUCUUAAUCAGUGCUGUAAGUAUUUUGGAAUACAGACACAAAAUCACAUUUUAAGUCUGCAUUUAUAUCUAUUAAAAAUGCCAAAAAAAUCUCCUUUUGUGCGUGUAGCAUUUUGAAUUCCCACCAUCAAUGCAUGAUAGUUCUUGGUUUUCCACAUUCAUAUUGCCAUGUAUCCUUAUGAGAGUUGUGUGUUUUAACCAAUCUAGUAGGUGAGUAAUGGGAUCUAAUUUUUAUUUAAAUGCACAUGUCCCUCAAAAAGUUCAUAUUUAACAAUUUUCCAAUAACUUUUGUUGAGAUGCCU
rnacentral:lncRNA from 1 species